AUGUGGAUGAGCCUGGAGCAAUCAGAGGAUGGGUCAGUGUUUGUGUCUGGGCCUCAGACAGCAAAAGCCACCACACACUGGGAUGUGGAACCACCAGUGACCUGGCUGGGCAGCACCAGGGGGUCUGGGACACCAGUAAAGGCUUCCUGGAGAGGCAUCCUAGGCUGGGAGAGGACAGCCUGGGAAGACAUUGAGACAGCCUGCUGUUCUGUACUCAGCCCAAGAGCCCCUGGCCGGUUCCAGCGGACCACAGUCAGCAGCCAUCUACCUCAGCGCGCCCUGCUACCUCCUCUUUCUGUAGGCAAUCACUGACCUGUUUUCUGUGUCUAUAGAUGAGUUUGCAUUUUAAGAAUUUUAUAUAUUUAGAAUGAUAAGCCUGUAUUCUUUUGCUUUCUUUUUCUUUUCCUGAUUUUUAUUUUUAUGUUAAGUGGAUCAUAGUUUGUUUCUUUUUAUUUGGUGAGUAGUAAUGGAUUGUGUGAAUAUAUUAUAAUUUGUAAAUCCAUCCUCCUGGUGAUGGACAUUAGGUUAUUUCAGAUAAAUAAAGCUUUUUUUAAUUAAAUAAAGCUGCCACAAACAUUUGGGUAUAAGUCUUUUGUGCACUUACGUAUUGAUUUUUCUAGGGAAAAUAUCU
rnacentral:lncRNA from 1 species